GCUAUUCAAGUGAUUGAUGAGCUCUUUCUUUAUCAGCCGCCUGUUUGGCGAUCGAUUGACUAUGAAUUGACGAGUUCAAAUGCUCGGAGCGUAUCUUCGAAAAGGUUAAAGGAACUUCUUGGUCGCACAUUCAGCCGGUUGAAAAGAACACGAAGAGGGUGAAAGAGAGAAAGGCACAAGGAACAGGUCUCGAGUGAACCUCGGCUUUACGAUCCUGCAAGCACGACUCGAAUUCGUGACUCUGGCCGCGGCAUCGAAAUCGAUCUAUCAUACGAUCUUUCCUCGAUCCUGUGCCGGCGAGCUUUCGCGGCG